GGAAACCGGUGAAAAUCCGGUGCGGUCGCGCCACUGUGAACGGAUCCCCCGGGAGCCGUGAGUCAGGACGC
rnacentral:ncRNA from 2 species